rnacentral:rRNA from 1 species
UUGGGUGUGCUGGUGAAAUGUUCGGAUUAGACAGCCUACCGUCAGGGGGCAGUUUGAGAAGUUCAUUGAACCCUCUCACCUAGAGGAAGGAGAAGUCGUAACAAGGUCUCCGUAGGUGAACCUGCGGAGGGAUCCAUAGCAA